rnacentral:rRNA from 1 species
GACGAACGCUGGCGGCGUGCUUAACACAUGCAAGUCGAACGGAAAGGCCCUGCUUUUGUGGGGUGCUCGAGUGGCGAACGGGUGAGUAACACGUGAGUAACCUGCCCUUGACUUUGGGAUAACUUCAGGAAACUGGGGCUAAUACCGGAUAGGAGCUCCUGCUGCAUGGUGGGGGUUGGAAAGUUUCGGCGGUUGGGGAUGGACUCGCGGCUUAUCAGCUUGUUGGUGGGGUAGUGGCUUACCAAGGCUUUGACGGGUAGCCGGCCUGAGAGGGUGACCGGCCACAAGGGGACUGAGAUACGGCCCAGUCGGCAACGGGAGGCAGCAGGGGGGAAUAUUGCACAAUGGGCGGAAGCCUGAGGCAGCAACGCCGCGUGCGGGAUGACGGCUUUCGGGUUGUGAACCGCUUUCGCCUGUGACGAAGCGGGAGUGACGGUAAUGGGUAAAGAAGCACCGGCUAACUACGUG